rnacentral:rRNA from 1 species
UGGGGAAUCUUGGACAAUGGAGGAAACUCUGAUCCAGCGAUGCCGCGUGAGUGAUGAAGGCCUUCGGGUUGUAAAACUCUUUUACCAGGGAAGAUAAUGACUGUACCUGGAGAAUAAGCCCCGGCUAACUUCGUGCCAGCAGCCGCGGUAAUACGAAGGGGGCUAGCGUUGUUCGGAAUUACUGGGCGUAAAGCGUGCGCAGGCGGUUUUUCAAGUCAGGGGUGAAAGCCCAGAGCUCAACUCUGGAAUUGCCUUUGAAACUGACGAACUGGAGUACGAGAGAGGUGAGUGGAAUUCCCAGUGUAGAGGUGAAAUUCGUAGAUAUUGGGAAGAACACCGGUGGCGAAGGCGGCUCACUGGCUCGUAACUGACGCUCAUGCACGACAGCGUGGGGAUCAAACAGGAUUAGAUACCCGUGUAGUCC